rnacentral:lncRNA from 1 species
AAAAUAUCUGAUUGCAUCUUUUUCACUUUGUGUUUGUAGAAUUGAAUUUCUUGUGAACAACGUAACGGUGUGCUUUCUUCACUUACAUUUUUCAGUUUAAUCUUUUGAUUAGAGAAUGUCAUCCACUUCCAGUUAAAUAAUUACAGAGAGGUGUGCAUCUGGGCUGAGAUUGCACCACUUCGUGUGCCUAUGGAAGCCAUUGGACAACUUACAGGAGUCAGUUCUCUCUUUCUACCGUGUGGAUUCCAAGGGGUGAACGCAGGCCAUCAGGUUUAGAGACUUUACCCACUGGACCACUUUAGCAGCUUUCCUGUUUUGUUUUGUUUUAAUUGACACAUGGUCAUUGUGCAUUGUACUGAGUUUCAAUGGAACAUGUCAUAUAAGGAUAUAAUGUUCUUUAAACAUUACCCUAUGCUACAUGUUUGCCCUUUCUUUUUCCCCUCCCAAUUCCCAUUACUCCCAUUCAUUCACUAAUGGUUGGCUCUACAUUUAUGUAACGAAUACAAACAUGGUUUAAUGUACCCAGAUAGAUGCUACGAUUCCAGAUGAAGAGAAACAUGACUUUUUUCAGUUCGAUAUUUUGUUCCCUUUGUAUGAUAAUGUCCAGCAUUAUACAUUUUCCUGCAAGUCAU